rnacentral:rRNA from 1 species
AACGAACGCUGGCGGCAGGCCUAACACAUACAAGUCGAGCGAGACCUUCGGGUCUAGCGGCGGACGGGUGAGUAACGCGUGGGAACGUGCCCUUUUCUGCGGAAUAGCCUCGGGAAACUGAGCGUAAUACCGCAUACGCCCUUUGGGGGAAAGAUUUAUCGGAAAAGGAUCGGCCCGCGUUGGAUUAGGUAGUUGGUGGGGUAAUGGCCUACCAAGCCUACGAUCCAUAGCUGGUUUGAGAGGAUGAUCAGCCACACUGGGACUGAGACACGGCCCAGACUCCUACGGGAGGCAGCAGUGGGGAAUCUUAGACAAUGGGGGCAACCCUGAUCUAGCCAUGCCGCGUGAGUGAUGAAGGCCUUAGGGUUGUAAAGCUCUUUCAGCUGGGAAGAUAAUGACGGUACCAGCAGAAGAAGCCCCGGCUAACUCCGUG